rnacentral:rRNA from 1 species
CGUAGGGGGCUAGCGUUGUCCGGAUUUAUUGGGCGUAAAGAGCGUGUAGGCGGCCGCGUAAGUCCGGUGUGAAAACUCGAGGCUUAACCUCGAGAUGUCAUCGGAAACUAUUCGGCUAGAGUCCGGAAGAGGAGAGUGGAAUUCCUGGUGUAGCGGUGAAAUGCGCAGAUAUCAGGAAGAACACCUAUGGCGAAAGCAGCUCUCUGGGACGGUACUGACGCUGAGACGCGAAAGCGUGGGGAGCGAACAGGAUUAGAUACCCUGGUAGUCCACGCCGUAAACGAUGGGUGCUAGGUGUGGGCGGUGUCGACUCCGUCCGUGCCGAAGCUAACGCAUUAAGCACCCCGCCUGGGGAGUACGGCCGCAAGGCUA